ACGGCCCCGCCCGGCCCCGCCCCUCGUUCGGGGCUGGCUGAGGGCUCCGAGGCCCCACCGCAGCGCGUCUCUCCGGUGAAUGGCCGAGGGCUGGGUGGGGCUGCGGUGGGCAGCGGUGGCCUUUCUCCUUCACACACAUACACAUGCCUUCCAAAUGUGCAUGGCUUGGGAUUCGCGUAUUUGUUUAAGAGACGACGGCCACAUCCUUUUGUUCGGCGUUCAGCAGACUCCUCCGAGUUCCGGGAUUUCUCCCGACUGAGGCGUCUCCGUCUCAGUACUCUCGGAGGAAAGCCUCGAGGGGCAGAACUGCCCUCUGUUGUUUCACGGGGCUGGAACCUCCCUCUCCGCAGCCCAAAGAAUCCGGAUGGACCCGCCUUUCCCAGAACCGGAGACCUUGGCCUCCUCAGGCUCCCCUCUGACUCAAACAAAAGCCGGAAUUGGAAAGACCACCCCUUUGAUGUGUUCGCUGUAAUCGACGUCCUGCUUUCCUCAACCGCCCAUUCCCUUAGCCUUCUUAGUUGACAGGAAUAUUGAGUAUUUGCAAGGAUGCGAAGCCAGAAAAAAAAAAAAGACUUUUAAUUCUAUAAAUCGUCCCGCUGCGUGCGCGCGUCUGUCCGUACAGCGCGGUGCCCACCCCGAGAGAGGGCCUGGAUUCACCAAGGCUGGGGGCCUUGAGGGCUUUUUAGGGCACGUGAAAGGAAAAUGGAGUUAGAGUUGUGUCGGGAUAGAGAGUGGGAUCAUUUUGCACUCAAGGAAUUGAGAAGAUCCCGUUGGUACCGCAGUUUCCAAGGAUUUGUGUAGUGCGUUUUUUGGAUCUGGUUUGUACAAGCGACCAGUAUAGGAGACGGGAUCCCUCCCGCCCUUACACCCCGCUGCGGGGUCAGCCGACGUGGGUGGGAUUUUGCUGGCGGCGAGGGGAGAAGGUGACGUGCGUGGCGCCAUGAUCGGAAGUCUGGACUGAAUUCUUAGCUGCGAGGUGGAAAAUGCGCGUGGGAGGGCGAUCUUGAGGGGUGAAGUCUGGCCUUCCCAUCUCCUACCAGGCAGGAGGGUUAUGCUGAAGGCUGGUUUUGCUGGUCUUUCAUUGUGGCUAAGGGCAGUUCCACAGAUACAGUCAUAGAUAGACUCCUUAAGUCAUGCUCUGCUUGCUUCUUCUAGUCCGCUGUUACCUCUUUAUCUGAAUUUGAUGUAAAUAAAUCUCCACAUUCCUUAAACUGGUUCUGUUAUACUAAACAUCUUCCAUAAUUAGGGGUUGUAGCAAUACCAACCCCGGAUUCUAAGACUCUUUUUAGUUGAAAUAUGUUUAUGCUGUUUACCCUUUAGACAGAGAAAAAAAAAUUCUACCUAGUAAAAUCCCUUAAAAAGACGAAGAGCAUA
ensembl:lncRNA novel transcript